UACAGAGGGGGCAAGCGUUGUUCGGAAUUACUGGGCGUAAAGGGCGCGUAGGCGGCCACCGCAAGUCGACUGUGAAAUCUCCGGGCUUAACCCGGAAAGGUCAGCCGAUACUGCGGGGCUAGAGUCCGGAAGAGGAGAAUGGAAUUCCUGGUGUAGCGGUGAAAUGCGCAGAUAUCAGGAAGAACACCCGUGGCGAAGGCGGUUCUCUGGGACGGUACUGACGCUGAGAAGCGAAAGCAUGGGGAGCGAACAGG
rnacentral:rRNA from 1 species